CCUACGGGUGGCUGCAGUGAGGAAUAUUGGUCAAUGGUCGGGAGACUGAACCAGCCAAGCCGCGUGAGGGAUGAAGUAUUUCGGUAUGUAAAGCUCUAUCAGCAGGGAAGAAAAUGACGGUACCUGACUAAGAAGCCCCGGCUAACUACGUGCCAGCAGCCGCGGUAAUACGUAGGGGGCAAGCGUUAUCCGGAUUUACUGGGUGUAAAGGGAGCGUAGACGGCGGUGCAAGCCAGAUGUGAAAGCCUGGGGCUCAACCCCGGGACUGCAUUUGGAACUGUGCUGCUAGAGUGUCGGAGAGGCAGGCGGAAUUCCUAGUGUAGCGGUGAAAUGCGUAGAUAUUAGGAGGAACACCAGUGGCGAAGGCGGCCUGCUGGACGAUGACUGACGUUGAGGCUCGAAAGCGUGGGGAGCAAACAGGAUUAGAUACCCCGGUAGUC
rnacentral:rRNA from 1 species